AGCAGCACAAACUUUGGGAAAGCAUCACC
rnacentral:piRNA from 1 species